AUGCAAAGAACUUUGAAAAGAGAGUUAAAGAGUACCUGAAAUUGCUGAAACGGAAGCGAAGGAAACCAGUGUCUGGUUGUGUCAUACUUCCCUUGCCGCUUGCGGUCUGGGCGCUGUGGCAUUUCCAUCUGUCUGCCUUGGUUGUGNCUCUCUGGAAGAGCGCCUACGGAGUUGACGUGGGUUGCUAGCAUUGGACUUGACUGAGUGCAGACGAAAUGGUUUUCUUUACCCCGUCUUGAAACACGGACCAAGGAGUCUAACAUAUGUGCGAGUACAGGGGUGGCAAACCCCGGUGCGCAAUGAAAGUGACAGUGGUUGGAUGUUUUUGCACAAUCCGCCGGCCUCAAUCCCUCGGGAGAACGGUCUGAGUGUGAGCAUACAUGUUGGGACCCGAAAGGUGAUGAACUAUGCCUGAAUAGGGUGAAGCCAGGGGAAACUCUGGUGGAGGCUCGUAGCGAUUCUGACGUGCAAAUCGAUCGUCAAAUUUGGGUAUAGGGGCGAAAGACUAAUCGAAUUACCUAGUAGCUGGUUUCUUCCGAAAUUUCCCUCAGGAUAGCUGCAAUCGAAUGUCAAUUUUAUCA
rnacentral:rRNA from 1 species